rnacentral:rRNA from 1 species
GAUGAACGCUGACAGAAUGCUUAACACAUGCAAGUCAACUGUGGCGGACGGGAGAGUAACGCGUAAAGAACUUGCCUCACAGCUAGGGACAACAUUUGGAAACGAAUGCUAAUACCUGAUACUGUGAGAGAGCUUUGCGUCCCAUUAGCUAGUUGGAGAGGUAACGGCUCACCAAGGCGAUGAUGGGUAGCCGGCCUGAGAGGGUGAUCGGCCACAAGGGGACUGAGACACGGGACUUACUCAUGCGGGAGGCAGGAGUGGAGGAUAUUGGACAAUGGACCAGAGUAUGAACCAGGAAUUCGGUGUGUACGAUAAAGUUUUCGGGAGGUAAGGUGCUUUCAGAUGGGAAGCGGUACCAACAGAAGAAGUAACGGCUAAAUACGUGCCAGCCGCCGCGGUAAUUC